GGGGAAGUGCUGGAAUUGGCAGACAGGCAUGACUUAGGAUCAUGUGCCGAAAGGCGUGAGGGUUCGAACCCCUCCUUCCCUA
rnacentral:tRNA from 1 species